CACGUAGGGCGCGAGCGUUGUCCGGAAUUAUUGGGCGUAAAGAGCUCGUAGGCGGCCUGUUGCGUCCGCUGUGAAAGCCCGGGGCUUAACCCCGGGUCGGCAGUGGAUACGGGCAGGCUAGAGGUAGGUAGGGGAGAAUGGAAUUCCCGGUGUAGCGGUGAAAUGCGCAGAUAUCGGGAGGAACACCUGUGGCGAAAGCGGCUCACUGGACCACAACUGGCGCUGAGGCACGAAAGCGAGGGGAGCAAACAGG
rnacentral:rRNA from 1 species